rnacentral:rRNA from 1 species
UACGUAGGGCGCAAGCGUUGUCCGGAAUUAUUGGGCGUAAAGAGCUCGUAGGCGGUUUGUCGCGUCUGCUGUGAAAACCUAAGGCUCAACCUUGGGCUUGCAGUGGGUACGGGCAGACUAGAGUGCGGUAGGGGUGACUGGAAUUCCUGGUGUAGCGGUGAAAUGCGCAGAUAUCAGGAGGAACACCGAUGGCGAAGGCAGGUCUCUGGGCAUUAACUGACGCUGAGGAGCGAAAGCAUGGGGAGCGAACAGG